rnacentral:misc_RNA from 1 species
GAGAACAGUGAAGCAACAAGCAAACAAGCAAACCAUACGCAAGAACAGCAGCAGCAGAAGAGGGGAGGCAUCGUCACGCUACGUCACACCGCACCGCGCCAUCACCUCCCCCUACACACGCACACACAACACCCUUCCCUCCCCUCCCACUCAUCCCCCACCCUCCUCCUCCUCCUCCUUUUCGCCGUAGUUUACGUCCUCCCUUCCUUCGCUUCCUCCUUCCCCCAUCUUGUUGUUGCUCCGCCCCCUGUAGCCACGUUCUAUUACAAGCGCCCGACGACGACGACGACGACGAAGAGAGAGAGGGAGCCAGCAACGACACGAAAGACCUCAUCUCUGCCUCCGGCUUCUUCCGUCCGUCGCUCUUCGCCACUCUAACGACUUUUUCGUUCUUUCUCGUGCGUGUGCGUGUGCCUCCGACACCUCGCCACCACCACCACCAACCCUACUCCUCCUCCUCCCUCCCCCUUUUCCCUUCUCGGAGCUGUGCCGUUCUUCUUUCUACUUUGGUCUUGCUCGCUUAGCGGCAUCAGCAGCAGCAGCAGCAGCAUCCUCUUCUCCGCUCCGUUGCUGCCGGCGAGGUCUAAACACACACACCGCCACCACCACCGCCACCGCCACCACUCCCUCUGUGUGCGUGCAUGCGUGUGCGUGUGUGUGUGUGUGCAUGCGUGUGUGCACCGUGACGCGUUGGUCGCUGCUGAAGACGAAGGAGGUACGAGCAGCACGCGUCCCUACACACGACACCACGCAGCGCUGUCGAGGAACGGAAAAUACACGUAUACAAGCGAUACGCAAAGGCGAGGCAACAGAGGCAGCGCGUUGCCAGCGAGAGGGCGAACUCCCACGAGUGUUGCAGCGGCACACGCCCACACGCUCUCUGUGUGUUUGUAGUAGCAGGAGGAGCAUAGGUGCGGGGUGGUGCAGUCCUUCAUGUCAGACCUAGCCGCUGAUGCGGGGAAGCCCCCGCAGCAGCAGCAGCAGUCAUCACAGGCGAAACCGCCAGCGCCGGCCGAGACGCGGCUGAACGCGAACGCCAAGUCCUUUACGCCGACUGCCACCACCGUUGUUGCUGCUGGUGCUGCGGCCCCUGCGCAUCCGCCCGCCAAGCAACCGCCGCCGACUCGCCACGCAGGCGCUAAGACACCACCGGCCGGGGCGGGCACCAAGGGGCCGCCAGCGAGUGGCGCCCAGACUUUGGCGCCGCCAGCCCCGCAUCUCCCGCCGGCGCAGUCAGCUGGAAAGAAGGGCAUGAUGAUGAUGCCACCGCCGCCUAGGUUCCCGGAGAUGGCAGGCAUGGUCCCGGGCAUGCCACCGCCAAUGCCGGGAACCGCAUCUACUGGCGGCAUGAUGUCCGCAGGCUUCAUGCCGCCGCCGCCGCCGCCGCCGCCGCCGCCGCCGCCGCCGCCGCCAAUGAUGAUGCCGCCACCAAACGGGAUGAUGUUUCAGCAGUCCGGCACGCCUGGAAUGCCGCACCAUCACCACCAUCCCGCAGGCAUGGCGACGCCGCAGCAGCACUUAGCUUCACAGCACCAGCACCAUCAGCAACACGGCAUGAUGCCGAUGUGGGUGCCGCCGCCACCUACGCAAACGCAGCAGCACCAGCAGCAGCAGCAGCCGGGCAUGAUGAUGCCCAUGAACAGCAUGAUGCCGAUGCCCAUGCCCAUGUCCAUGCCCAUGGGCGCUGCCUCUUCCCCAAUGCCGCCGGGCCAGCGCAGCAGCGGCCCACAGCAGCACCCGCCGCAGCAGCCGGGGAUGAUGAUGCCCUUCUAUCCACCGCCGCAGGCCCCGCACGGGACGAUGCCGCCCAUGGCGAGCAUUCCGCCUCCAGCGCCGGGUAUGGGUGUGCCACGCGCACCCACUCUCACCGCCGGGGCAGCAGCAGGCGGUGCGAUGAUCCCGCCGCAGGCGGCGGGGGCCGCAGCGACUGCGGCGAUGAUGGCCCCCUCCCCGCACCACUCGUACAUGCACCCACACCCGGGCAGCAGCACCGCCAGCAGUGCCAACGCGAGCGCCGCGGCCAGUAGCAUCAGCAAUGCCCGCAGCAUCCACAGCAACACCCAGAACCACAUCAAUACCGGUAUGCAGGCGACGGCAAGCAGGCCCGCCUCCAUAUCGAUGCCGUCCCAACCGCCGCCACCGAUGAUGAUGAUGAACCACACCGGAAGCGCCAUGAUGCCGCCACCGCCGCCGCCGCCGACCGUCGCGGCGAACGCGCGCGUGAGCGUCGGCAACGCCACGUUGGCUGCACUGAACUCGAAGGAGCCGCCGAAGUUCUCGUGUGUGCUGCUGUCCGGCAUCCCGGCUGUUGGCAAGACGACGCUCGGCCGUGAGCUCGUGAAUAGCCUCAAGACCGACGGCAUGGGCUGGGCCUUCUUCAGCGGCGCCGACUUCCUCACCGAGCAGCAGGGCAAGCGCUCCAUCUGGGAGACGACGAAGGACGUCUUCGACGCGCUCAGCAGCCGCCUAGACGAGCUGCUGGAGAAGCAGCACAAGGACCGCAACAUCAAGGGCCUCGUCAUUGACAAGAACUGCAAGGGCAUCGAGGAUGUCUAUUACCUGAGUGCGCUGCUGCUGUCCAAGAGUAUCCCGUUCGUCGGCAUUGUAGGCAUGGAGUGCGCCGAAGACGACGUGCUCGUAAAGCGCAUGGGCGGCGACGACUACCUCAAGGAGAAGCUCAAGUUUCACCGCGUCAUUCACGCUCGCAUCGUUAGCCUUGCCAAGAGUGCGGGCAUGUACCGCUACGUCGACGCCACCAAGAGCAAGGAGGAGGUGGUGCAGCUGCUGCGCACGAUGGUGCUCGGCUGCUGCGCGCAGCCGCCGACGCGAAGCAUCGGCAACCACCAGUACGACGACUCCCGCGCCAACAUCAUGGUGGAUGACUACAAGGAGUACAGCGAGGUGCUCACGCACCUCUUCCGCUGCGUUAACAACCGCGGCUCGCAGUUCCCGGGCAACACCGACCUCGUGCCCUUCUCCGAGAAAGAGAUGAAGGACAAGGGCCGCAUCAACGCCAUCAAGAGCCGCUACGGCAUCCGCAGGAAGGUGGACGGCCACCGCUACCUGCUCGUCUAUCGCGAGAAGAAGCUGUACCUUGUGCCGCCGCACAUGCGCGCGGUGCUGCAGAUGCCGUUGAAGGCGUGGCUCGGCAGCCGUCUCGACAGCGACAGCGUCGGCACGUUUGUGCUGGAGGGCGACCUCACGCGGCUGAUCCGCGACCGACAGAAGGAGCUCUUCCUGGUGUACGACGCCCACUACUGGAGCGAGGCGGAGCAGCCGAGCAGCAACAAGAUGAUCCGCAUGACCUUCUCCGAGCGGCAGGCCUUCCUGGCCGCGAACAUGUGCAGCGAGUCGAAGGCGUUCUUUGCGCAGGACGGCGUCGAGUGCGUCGUCGUGCACCAGCCGACGCAGAAGAUGUCGGAGGCGGUCGACAUGCUCGACUCGGAGGAGUACCCAAGCGACGGUCUCGUCUUCCAGGCUGUCAACCCGAUCCACCGCAGCGACCACGUCUUUGUGUGGCAGCAGCCGUCCUGCAUGACCGUCGACUUCCGUGUCGGUCAGCUCCUCGACACACGCCAGCCGCCGGAGACGGACACCGACGGCAUUCCAACCUCCAUGAAGGUCACCACGAGUGACCUUCGCCGAAACGCGAGCGGCACCGUCUCACCGCAGCAGCAGCAGCUCCCGCUGACAACGCGCCGCGGCAACGUCGACGCCUUCAGCGACCAUCCCAUUCGCACCUUCAUGCUUGAGGUGUACGACAAAACGGAGAAGAUGUACGUGCAGUACGAGAACGCCACGGUCGACGUGCGCCACCCCGACGUGGUGGAGGGCUGCAUCGUCACGUGCAGCCUCGUGGACGACACCCCGCGACGCUGGGUGUUCCGCCGCAUCCGGUAUGACGUGCUGCGCCCGAUCUACAAGCUGGACCUGGAGGAGCUGCUUGGCUCCUGCCUGAUCCCGCGCGCGAAGUUGGUGGCGUGGAUGCUGAGCGAGCAGAUUGUGCCAUCCGAGAUCCAGCCGGAUGGAAACGGGAGCGGUGCCGGGGGCAGUGGUAGCGCUAUCAACGUGCCGAACGUGCCGCCGCCGUCGUACGAUGCGGCUGCUGCGGCUGUCGCUGCGGCUAACGCCAAGGGCGCUGCUGCGUCGAUGGGCAUGAUGCAGGGUUUGGCGAUGCCGCUGCCUACGCAGGGUAUGAUGCCGCCGCUGAUGAACGACAUUGGUAGCCCGCCUGCCUUCCACGCCUCCGCCGCCGCCACUGCCAUCCCGAUGGCGCCGACGGCGCCGGCUCGCUGCAUCUACCCAUCCGCCUCCGCUAUGUUGUCGCGCGUAGCGGCCGUGCCUACAAAUCCGGCGCCGCCGCCCGCCGUCCCCGCCCCGCGGCCGCCAGCGCAGAUGAGCACAGAGGCGCAGUUGAAGCAGCUAGCAAGCAUUGUUCCGUCCUUCCAUGUUGUGGAUGGCAGCAAGGAGGGCGGGGCCGCGGCGGUGGCGGUGGCGGCGGCCUCGUCGACUCCUGCCGCGGCCGGCAGCAACGGCACUGCCGCUGGGCUCGCGGGUAAGAGCGCGGCACCGCGCGCGAUGGGUGGCGCGGCCAGCGACGGCAACCGCAACUGCGCGCAGUGUCACAAACCAAAGCAGAGCGAAGACCUCCGCGUUGAUCGCCGCGAUCACCGGCACUACUGCUACUCGUGCUGGGCCAAGUCCGGCUACGGCUUCUGCGCCGUGUGUGGCGAGUUCAAGGAGGUGCGGCGGGAGUCCAAGGGCCGCCAGAAGGGGUCCACCGUGUGCGCGCCGUGUGGAAAGGCAGCCGCGGCGGCGGCGACGGCGCCUGCAGACGCCGCCAGCAGUAACGCCUCUCCCGCAGCAGCGACGACGGCAGCUGUGGUCGUGAAGACAGCAGCCUCCGCCCCGACAACGCCGGCGGCGAGCGCGGCGGCGCAGGAGGCCGCGGAGGCCAAGGUCGAUGUUGUGUUGCCCUCCGCGAAGGCCAGGAAGAAGGCGGCGGCAAAGGCGAAGAAGGCUGUCGGGGUCCCCCCUGCGACUGGUGAGGCUACUCCGAGCACGGGCAGUGCCGCUCCGGCGGAGGCGGCGGCGAAGACGACAGGUGGCGAGGGUGGGAAGGCGGUAAAGGGCACCGGCGGCGGCAGCAGCCGGGCAGUGGCGGAGAGCGCGCCGUCGAGCCCGACGACCGGCAAGGGUGGUGACACGGCCCACGGAGGGAAGAAGAAAGACAGCGUCAAGGUCUCAUCCUCCUCACUCGAUGCGUCGAUGUCGGCCUCGCCGCCAGACGCGGCGGCGGCGGAAGCCGCGCUUAGCCAGGCGCCAAAGUCGGAGAAGCCGUCGAAGAGUGUACCCAUCCAUGCGGACGCUGCACCCGCUCCCGCGGCCCCGGCGGUGGCGGUGGCGGAGGCGCCUGCUGCAAAGCCUGUGGAUUCGAAGGUCGCUGAGCCACCCGAGGAAGCUGUAGCUGCCCCCGCCGCACCCACGACGUCAACUGCCGUGCAGGACCCGUCCAGGGCGCAGGUGCACGAGGAGAAGCGUAGCGUUGGUGGCUGCCGUCAGCAGUAGUGAGGGCGCGACCAUCACCAGCUGCCCCCUAGCAAGCCCUGAGCCAAUGCCUAACAGGAGCGCGUAGAGGGAAGCGUGGAAAGCGUCCAUCACACCUACACCACACCACAGUCCAACCCUUCUCUCCGGCAAGGAUGGAAAGAGAGCAGGGGGAGGGGGGCAAGACGCGGCUCGCGUGGACGGAAAGGGCACGAGUGGCGGUGGCACUCGCGUGUGCCAGUGUGUGUGUGUGUGUGUGUGCGUGUGUCCCUCUCUCUCUCUUGGCCCCUUUUCUCUUAUUCAUGCUGUUGGCUAUCGUCGACAGCGGCGGUGAUGACCACAACAAUACGACAGAAGAAGACGAUAAUAAUGACGUGUGGCGUCUGCUGUGUCGUUCUUGCACUCCCCUUCUCUCCCUCCCUCCCUCCUUCCCUCCCACACGCACACAG